rnacentral:rRNA from 1 species
GUCCAGACUCCUACGGGAGGCAGCAGUGGGGAAUAUUGCACAAUGGGGGAAACCCUGAUGCAGCGACGCCGCGUGAGUGAAGAAGUAUUUCGGUAUGUAAAACUCUAUCAGCAGGGAAGAAAAUGACGGUACCUGACUAAGAAGCCCCGGCUAACUACGUGCCAGCAGCCGCGGUAAUACGUAGGGGGCAAGCGUUAUCCGGAUUUACUGGGUGUAAAGGGAGCGUAGACGGCAUGGCAAGUCAGAUGUGAAAGCCCGGGGCUCAACCCCGGGACUGCAUUUGAAACUGUCAGGCUGGAGUGCAGGAGAGGUAAGUGGAAUUCCUAGUGUAGCGGUGAAAUGCGUAGAUAUUAGGAGGAACACCAGUGGCGAAGGCGGCUUACUGGACUGUAACUGACGUUGAGGCUCGAAAGCGUGGGGAGCAAACAGGAUUAGAUACCCUGGUACUG